UUAAUAAGUGCAUCGUUAAAUGUAAGUUGUCUCUAAUACUUGGUUGUUAGGAUAGAUUUUCGCUAAUUAUCGAUUGUUGAAACAGUGGUACCGUUCCGAUACCACUCGAUUUCAGCAGCACUCGACGAAUUGCCUGAUAGAAUUCAGGGCACAGCUGACCUGAUUUCCGUAUUCUGGAUCGGAUAGACCCGGGAUCGAGUAGCGAAGCACAGGCGACAUUCUAGCACUAAAAUCUUUGAAGCUGCGUAAAUAAAACACACAACGUUUAAACGCUUAGACCCGCCCAAGGAAAAAUGCGAGCGCGAUCCGAAUCGUGUUCGUAUAUCGUCGAAUACAGCCUUGUAAAAUUGGGCCCUAUUACAUAAGACGAGUCACGAGUCAUUUAACUCGAGUGAGCCAUUUUGGUAUUACAGUAGUCGAGUCGAGUCGAAUUUCAGUCGAGUAGCUCGACUGAGUCGACCGCUUGAAGGUUCGUGACUCAGCUGUUUCACUCGACUACCGUAAUACGACGUUCCGCUCGACUCGACAGUGACUGGAGUCGAAUCGAGUUACUCGACUCGUCUUCUGUAAUAGGGCCCAUAAUUCAAUAAACCUAGGUAUAACAUAACAUGAAAAAAGCUUAUAAUUAUGGUUUGUCAACUUUUAGUCACGUCUUUUUGUAUAAGGUACACCGGGGUAAGUGUGGACGAUGGCUAUUAAAACAAUACUGUGCACUAUUUUUCGGAACUUUUAAAGCAGAAUAUUCAAUUUACUUGUAAUCUAUCCAAUAACUGUGAAAAAGAUACGAUUCCGACAAUAACGGAUGUUUACAUGGACUUUUUAAGAAUUUUCUUAUUUUCAACUACGAUGUCGAGGUGAUGUUCAUCUUUUUCAAUUGCAAAUGUCUCGUAAACUAGCUGGCUCUUGACGAAAAAAACUCUACAUUGAAACAAUCCUUACAUUCGAAACAACCAGUUAGGAAAAGAAACGGCGAUUAAAAAUGAAGAAAAAAAAGAGUUUAUUCACAAAAAACUAAAAUUUUGUCUCCAAACCCUAGCUGGGGUAAGUAUGGACGGCUUUAUACAGGCUUGAUAUUUACAUAUUUUUUUCAAUUUUCUGUCCUUCAUCCAAUACAAUUUAGCUAUAUUUAGCAUUCGGAUCAUAAAAAGCUGGGUUGUUCUGGAAUAAGUACAUAUUUUCGAUAAAAUCGGAUCUCGUGUGUUGAAACAUAAAUUACACACAAUAAUUAUUGAAAGACGCCUUACUAAUAGCACCAUUAACUUUUGUUCCAAAAUUUUGGAUGGUUCGAGCAAUAAAGUAUCAUAUUCAACCAAGAAAACACAAAUUUGUUGAAAAUUUCCUGAAAAAUCAUAGGGAAAAUCUAACGUCCACACUUACCCCAUAAUGCGGGGUAAGUGAAGACACCAGCAGUCCAUAACAAUUUACGUGAUAGCAUUUCUCUUCAGCGUUUGUUAAAAACAUGUUCUGCAUCACAUUGAACGUAAUUUUAUCAAAAUUGAUCCACUGCUGAUUUUUUAAUAAUUUUUUAAAGUUGAACUAUACGAAAAACCGUCCACACUUACCUCGGUGUACCUUAACACAUUGUCUGUAUAUUCUGAAAACAUAUGUGCUUAUAUAUAAUUCUGUUUACUUACCAGCUUAGUAUUGGACACCGACAAAUGUGUAAGUUGUGGUAUGAGAGUUUGCAGAUGGUCACGGAAGAAUACAUCUUCUUCUUGGAUGAAGCGUGAUAUAAGAUGUAUAGUUUUGAUAACUGCAUUUUCGUCUUUUAUGAGUAGACAUUUGAGGAGAACCGGUCCCACCUGAAGUAAGAAGAAAAGUUUUCAGCUGGAUUCGGCGAGUUUGAGUAUAUAUUCUACUAACUUUAUCCAUAUUAGUUUUAAGAACAAUAUGUGGGGCGAUUUGGUAAACGUGUAUCAAUGCUGUGAGAUGCGUUUCAGCGUAUUGUUCAACUUUUUGUUCUAAUUUUUUCAUUACUAGAACAAAAAGUUUCUGUUUGAAGAGACCUUUUAUAAGUGGCAAGUGGAGUUUUGGGAAUGCUGCUGAUAAAAUUUCAAAUGCCAGAGCAGCUACAGUGCCGAGAGACGGAUGAUCCAAGAGUUCUGCCAAAUCUUCCACAAUUUCACCAGCAACAUGAUGAUUUUUGGCAAGUAAUCCUUUUCCGAUCCAAGACAACACAGCUACGGCCUUUUUAUUGUUGUUUUUUAUUUCGCUUCUUAAUUUAGCUAAAAUUUUUACAAGAACAUUACGAUGGUGUUCAUCAUUUGGCAUCUUGUUGAACAGGCUGCAUAACAAAUGAUUGCUGAUAUCUUUGAUAUUAUCAUCUUCAGAGUCCAUCGAUAAUUUGGUCAAAUCGUCCACCAAAUGUUCAAAAUGAUUUUCAACCGUUACUGUUUCAUCUAAAUAUCCUAGAAUGCCCGAAGUUAAAUACAAAUCUUUUGCUUGAGUCAGGUCCAUUGAAACCAAAUAUUUGUUCACUACAGUCUGCUGUUUUUCUGGCGAUAAUUGCUUCAUUAUGAUUUUCAGAACAACUGACACUGCGUAGAGAAAGUGAUUAGAGAAGUUAUGAUCUGAUUGAUGCACAAAAUCCGUAAAUCGCUCUAUCAAAUUAUACUGUUUGCACAAUUCGUUCGAUAAUUCUUUUGAUUCCGGUUUCUCCAGCAAUCGUUGCCAGCAGUUUAGCGCCACAACUGCUACCUCUUCAUUUAAAGGAUCUCCAAAAAAUAUGUUGAUAAAAAAAUUCGCUACUACAUCCCUGAUGAUCAUCAGAGGUAAAAGCCUUACCAAUGCUUGGAAGACACGAGGCGUUGGAAUUGCAGUGUUUUCAUAUUUUCUAAGAAUCAAUUUUUCUACCACUAUACUCAAUACCUCGGUGGAAUAUUGUUGGGCAAACUGAUACAAGCAAUCUUCCACAAAAACACUAUCAUCGUCAGAAUUCAAUAAAGUAUCUACGAUGGUCGUAUAGACAACGUAACGAUUAUCAUCAGUGACGAUUUCCGGAAUGCUGGUCACACAUCUGACUACUACCUUGCGUAAUUGCAUAGAAUCUUUUUCCUGAACAAGCGCCUGGAUGAACAGUUUUUGUGAGGUUUUUACCAAAUCAUCUGCUAUCAGAUGCAGAACACACUUCCGCUUACAACAAACCAACGACAAAUGAAUCAUCUCUAUUAAGGACAGCUUCUCAGAUUCUCGCAGGACAGAUUCUUGCAUUUGAGAGAAAGCAAUCGGUAGCAGUUUGUUCGAAGUAAAUAGAGCAGCUUCGUCAGACGCAUCGGCGCAUUUCAUUGCUAUCUUGACGCCGUACUCAAAAAGCUUUGUAGAAACAUCAGAAACGGCACCGAGAAUCGACAUAAAAAUGCAAGUCAACAAGCGGUUUUCGUUCUGCAAAUCGGUAUGCGCCACCAAGACGAGAUGGCGGGUCGCUUCCAGGGCCAAAUCGUAAACUUCUUUGUUUCCAUGACCAGGAAGCAGCUCCAUUUUCAAUACUUUCCAAAUAUCCUCGAGGUGGUGAUCUAGCUCGAUAAGCGGAAACGCUUGAGUACAUUUAAUCUGCAAUCAAAUAAAGAUAUAAUAAAACAGCGCUUUAUUUACGUGUUUAGUUGAAAUAUUUC